rnacentral:rRNA from 1 species
ACGUAGGGGGCAAGCGUUGUCCGGAAUCACUGGGCGUAAAGGGCGCGUAGGCGGUACGUUAAGUCAGGUGUGAAAGUUUUCGGCUCAACCGGAAAAGUGCACUUGAAACUGACAUACUUGAGUACUGGAGAGGUAAGCGGAAUUCCUAGUGUAGCGGUGAAAUGCGUAGAGAUUAGGAAGAACACCGGUGGCGAAGGCGGCUUACUGGACAGAGACUGACGCUGAGGCGCGAAAGCGUGGGGAGCAAACAG